rnacentral:tRNA from 1 species
GGCCCGGUGGUAUAGCGGUUAGUACGUCGCCCUUUCAAGGCGAAGAUCGCGAGUUCAAAUCUCGUCCGGGUCACCA